AACUCCAAUAGCGUAUAUUAAAGUUGUUGCAGUUAAAAAGCUCGUAGUUGGAUUUCUGGUGGGAGGGAUCGGUCCAGCACACUGUGUUGGAACUAGAUCCUCCUGCCAUCCUUGGGUGGAUCUUGUCUGACAUUAAGUUGUCAGUCAGGGGAUGCCCAUCGUUUACUGUGAAAAAAAUUAGAGUGUUCAAAGCAGGCUUAUGCCAUUGAAUAUAUUAGCAUGGAAUAAUAAGAUAGGAACCUGGUGCUAUUUUGUUGGUUUGCGUAACGAGGUCAUGAUUAAUAGGGACAGUUGGGGGUAUUUGUAUUCAGUAUUCAGUGGUGAAGUACUUAGACCUACGGAAGACAAACUACUGCGAAAGCAUUUACCAAGGAUGUUUUCA
rnacentral:rRNA from 1 species